rnacentral:rRNA from 1 species
AUGAACGCUGGCGGCGUGCCUAAUACAUGCAAGUCGCGCGAACAGACGAGGAGCUUGCUCCUCUGACGUUAGCGGCGGACGGGUGAGUAACACGUGGAUAACCUACCUAUAAGACUGGGAUAACUUCGGGAAACCGGAGCUAAUACCGGAUAAUAUAUUGAACCGCAUGGUUCAAUAGUGAAAGACGGUUUUGCUGUCACUUAUAGAUGGAUCCGCGCCGCAUUAGCUAGUUGGUAAGGUAACGGCUUACCAAGGCAACGAUGCGUAGCCGACCUGAGAGGGUGAUCGGCCACACUGGAACUGAGACACGGUCCAGACUCCUACGGGAGGCAGCAGUAGGGAAGCUUCCGCAAUGGGCGAAAGCCUGACGGAGCAACGCCGCGUGAGUGAUGAAGGUCUUCGGAUCGUAAAACUCUGUUAUUAGGGAAGAACAAAUGUGUAAGUAACUAUGCACGUCUUGACGGUACCUAAUCAGAAAGCCACGGCUAACUACGU